CUAUAAAUUCAGUUUAAUAGCAACUAUAAUCUGAAAUCAGACCCUAUUAAUUGAGUUUAAUAGCAACUAAACUAACAACAAUCUGAAAACUGAAAAUGAACUAAUUCAGCCACUAAUUCUCACCACAAAUUUUGUCUUGACUUUAAAAGGAACAAAAAUAAAUCAGCGACUAAUUCUCACUACAAAUUCUCGCCAACUAAACAGAUCUAAACACAUAUAAUCUCUUCGCAACUAAACAAUCUAAUCAUACUCGCUGGUCUGCUGCUACUGCGAGAAGGGAGAUGACGCCGGUCUGCAUCAGCGGGGGAGGAGAAGUCGGGGUGGGGAGGUGGCGCAACUGGUGCCGGUCUGCUCAUGCUGCGUCGUCAUAGGCGAGCCGACGUAGGAGAAGCCGGGGUGGAGGCGGUCACUGGUCAGAGUGGCACCGGCGCAGUGUCACCGGGGGAGGAGAAUCAGGAGUUUUCACUUAGGGUUUGUUUACUUUGGUAGUAAAAUUUUCGUUUGAAAAUGAUGGAUAAGAAAAGAUUGUCUCGAUAUGAGUUCGUAGGCGCAAACGGUUCGCAAAUCCGAGUUCGGACGAGGAAGAUAUGGCCAAAACAAGAAAGUCGCGCGCAACAGUGAAUAGUGCCCGACGGGAAUUUCCGAAUUUUCGGGAGUUUGCGGAAUUUUCGGAUUUUAUCAGUAUUUUCGAGCUCUGUACUGUAUUUAUCCCCUGUGCCUAUAUAUAGGUCUUCUUUUGACCUAUUUAGGGUUCCCAACUUUACUUUUUCAGUUCCCAAUUUUUAUUUUUCA